UACAGAGGUGUCAAACGUUGUCCGGAAUUACUGGGCGUAAAGGGCGCGUAGGCGGCCUUAUAAGUCAUUUGUGAAAGCUCUGGGCUCAACCCAGGAAUUGCAAGUGAUACUGUAAGGCUUGAGUUCGGUAGAGGAGGGCGGAAUUCCAGGUGUAGCGGUGAAAUGCGUAGAUAUCAGGAGGAACACCGGUGGCGAAGGCGGGUCUCUGGGCAAUAACUGACGCUGAGGAGCGAAAGCGUGGGGAGCGAACAGG
rnacentral:rRNA from 1 species